AUUGAACGCUGGCGGCAGGCUUAACACAUGCAAGUCGAGCGGAGAUGAGGUGCUUGCACCUUAUCUUAGCGGCGGACGGGUGAGUAAUGCUUAGGAAUCUGCCUAUUAGUGGGGGACAACAUUCCGAAAGGAAUGCUAAUACCGCAUACGUCCUACGGGAGAAAGCAGGGGAUCUUCGGACCUUGCGCUAAUAGAUGAGCCUAAGUCGGAUUAGCUAGUUGGUGGGGUAAAGGCCUACCAAGGCGACGAUCUGUAGCGGGUCUGAGAGGAUGGUGCGCCACACUGGGACUGAGACACGGCCCAGACUCCUACGGGAGGCAGCAGUGGGGAAUAUUGGACAAUGGGGGGAACCCUGAUCCAGCCAUGCCGCGUGUGUGAAGAAGGCCUUAUGGUUGUAAAGCACUUUAAGCGAGGAGGAGGCUACUGAGACUAAUACUCUUGGAUAGUGGACGUUACUCGCAGAAUAAGCACCGGCUAACUCUGUGCCAGCCGCCGCAGUAACAC
rnacentral:rRNA from 1 species